rnacentral:misc_RNA from 1 species
GAUGAAGAACGUAGCGAAAUGCGAUACGUAAUGUGAAUUGCAGAAUUCAGUGAAUCAUCGAAUCUUUGAACGCAUAUUGCGCUCUUUGGUAUUCCGAAGAGCAUGCUUGUUUGAGUAUCAGUAAACACCUCAACCUCUUCUUGAUUUUUCAAAAGGAGGGUGGACUUGAGCUAUCCCAACAACCUUUACCGGUCGGCGGGCGGCUUGAAAUGCAGGUGCAGCCGGACUUUUAUCUGAGCUAAAAGCAUAUCUAUUUAGUCCUCGUCAAACAGGAUUAUUACUUUUGCUGCAGCUAACAUAAAGGAUAAUUGUCCUCUUUGCUGACUGAUGCAGGAUUUUACGACACUUUAUGUGUUGUUCAACUCGAUCUCAAAUCAAGUAAGACUACCCGCUGAACUUAAGCAUAUCAAUAAGCGGAGGA